AAGUCUUAAAAAGUGAUUCAGUGACGGCUGAUGCAGUUUUCAUUUUGUUUGCAGAACUUCCAGACUGAAUUGGAAAGAGCUCAGAGUGCACUAUCAGAUCCAGAUCUCCUACCACGUGCACAGAUAAACAUGGCUGAGCACACAGAAAACCUGCAGGUGAAAGUCUGCGAGAAGAUGAUGAGCGUUUUAAAAACACCCCUGUAAUUCUGGAGCCCAACACAUUGUCCCCUCAGCUCCGUCCUACAGUGGAGAUGUAUGAAGAUGAUUUUAGGGAGGAAACUGAAAUGUAUUUUUUAUUUUUGAGUUAUAUGUUGUAAUGGGAUGGCUCUGGAGGAGAGCAGAAUUCUGGAAAGUGCAUUUUUAUGGUUGUUGAGUGCAGUGCAUUAUGGGCCGUGACAGUCUUCAAACAGUUGGUGAGAGUGGUUCAUGGGAAUGAGAUUUUUGACAAAUUCCAGUUUUUUUUUUUUUUUUACCAAGCACACAGUUGCUCUCCUUACAUCCUGAUGCAGUUAGACCGCGGUGAACCCGUCAUUUAAAUUUAGCCAUUCAUAUAACUGACCUGGUAUUUUAUUAGAUUGCUUGGGAAACUGGUCGAGAUAUCUGGAGUUGUUCUUAAAUGGUUCUCCUCAUGUUUAUCCAACAGAAAAAACUUUGUGUCAUUUGGUGUUAAGAAGUCUCACAGCGCUCCUCUGAUGUGGGGUUCCACAGGGGCCCAUUCUUGGACCAGUCUUAUUUUUGUUACAUCUGCUCCCUCCAGGACAUAUUAUCCAGCAAUUUGAUUGUAUCUUUUAUCAUUGCUAUGCUGACGAUAUUCAGUUGUAUGUUUCUGUAAAUCAUAAUGACCCCUCAAAUUACUACAGUUAUUUGGCCUUUCCUAUCCUUUCAACAAUUAGAGACAAUUGUCCAUGCCUUUGUUUUCUCUCAACCUGACAACUAUAAUGCAUUUUACUCAAAGCUAAGCCAAGAGGCCAUGGCUCAGUUACAAGUAGUUUAAAAUUCUGCACUAAAACUCCACACUGAUCCCGUAUCACUCCAGCCCUGGUCUCUUGGCUCCCUGGCAAGUUGAGAAUUGAGUUCAGGAUCCUGUUUAUUACAUACAAGGCUCUACAAAAACCUGGUCCCAAGAUAUCAGGCAACCUUUGACCCCCUGUGAGCCUGCCAGGUCACUGAGGUCCUCUGAUCAGGAUCUCCAAGCUGCUCCUUGCUCAAGACUCAAGAUUCAGUUCCAAAUCAUGAAAUAGUCACCUCCUGAGGAUCAGGUCAACUGGCUGUCUUAAAGGUUGUAAAUCAUAUCUGAAGACCCAUUUUUACAGGAAAUGUAUCUCUUUAUCUCUUGUCUCACUUGUUUCUACAUAUCAAUUUCUUCUUAAAUAUCUUUUAAAAUCUAAUUUGCUGUUGCACUUGAUCUUUUUAUUUGUGUUUUUUAUGCAUUUGUAUUAUUGUAAAC